rfam:Bacterium TMED181 isolate TMED181 MHASMcontig_390165, whole genome shotgun sequence.
GGGGGUGUGCCCGAGUGGUUAAAGGGGCUUGGCUGUAAACCAAGUGCGUAAGCUACGUUGGUUCGAAUCCAACCGCCCCCA